GUGCCAGCAGCCGCGGUAAUACGGAGGUGGCGAGCGUUGUUCGGAAUUACUGGGCGUAAAGGGCGCGUAGGCGGGGCGAGAAGUCGGGUGUGAAAGCCCUCGGCUCAACCGAGGAAUGGCGCUCGAGACUCUCGUUCUUGAGUCCCGGAGAGGACGGUGGAAUUCCCGGUGUAGCGGUGAAAUGUGUAGAGAUCGGGAGGAACACCGGUGGCGAAGGCGGCCGUCUGGACGGUGACUGACGCUGAGGCGCGAAAGCGUGGGGAGCAAACGGGAUUAGAAACCCCUGUAGUCC
rnacentral:rRNA from 1 species